AAUUUUUCUAGAGUUCAUAAUGUGACUCAAAUUAUCUACAAAUUCUGAAAGUGAAACCUUUAAAGAUGAGAAUGAGAGAUGGUUUAUCAGAGAAGAUGACAUGCUAGAGCUUCCUGAAGAAUAAAUGGUAGAAGUACUAGUAGUUAGCAUGGGAGAGUAGUAAAAAUAGCAACUUUACUAGUUAAAAUGGAGAAUAAAAGUGGCAGCAGCAGCAGGUUGGUGAAGGAGCGAGCUCGGCGGGGUGAACCGGCGGGAAGGGCGCUCAGGCGAAACUCCGGCGGGCGACGAGGAAGGGCGGCGCUGCGGGCGCGAGCGCGAGAAGCCGAGCCAGACCCACAGCGUCUUCUGGGAGACUUGGUAGUCGGCUCACGCCGUCAUCAGCACGCCCCGCUUGAGGUCGACGCCGGCG
rnacentral:lncRNA from 1 species